ensembl:misc_RNA 7SK 7SK RNA
GGAUGCAAGGGCAAUCUGGCUGUGACAUCUGUCACCCCAUUGAUCGCCAGUGUUGAUUCCGCUGAUCUGGCUGGCUAGGCGGGUGUCCCCUUCCUCCUUCACUGUUCCAUGUGUGUCCCUCCUGAAGCUGCGUGCUCUGUCGAAGAGGAAGACCAUCCCCGAUAGAGGAGGACUGGUCUUCGGUCAAGGGUAUAUGAGUAGCUGCACUGCCCUGCUAGAAUCCCCAAACAAGCUCUCAAGGUCCAUGUCCCUGCAAAGGAAAUGAACUCAUCCUUUUUUAUUGCUGCAUAGUAUUCCAUGGUCUAUAUGU